GACGAACGCUGGCGGCGUGCUUAACACAUGCAAGUCGAACGCUGAACCCGCUUCGGUGGGGGAUGAGUGGCGAACGGGUGAGUAACACGUGGGCAACCUGCCCCCGGCUCUGGGAUAACUCCAAGAAAUUGGGGCUAAUACCGGAUGUGACCGCUGGCCGCAUGGUCUGGUGGUGGAAAGGGUUUCCGGCUGGGGAUGGGCCCGCGGCCUAUCAGCUUGUUGGUGGGGUAGUGGCCUACCAAGGCGACGACGGGUAGCCGGCCUGAGAGGGUGACCGGCCACACUGGGACUGAGACACGGCCCAGACUCCUACGGGAGGCAGCAGUGGGGAAUAUUGCGCAAUGGGCGGAAGCCUGACGCAGCGACGCCGCGUGGGGGAUGACGGCCUUCGGGUUGUAAACCUCUUUCAGCAGGGACGAAACGCAAGAGACGGUACCUGCAGAAGAAGCACCGGCCAACUACGUG
rnacentral:rRNA from 1 species